rnacentral:miRNA from 1 species
UGCACUACUCCGGGGGUAGGAC